UCCAUGGUAGCUCAGCUGCUAAAGAAUCCACCUGCAAGGUGGGAGACCUGGGUUCAAUCCCUAGCUUGGGAA
rnacentral:tRNA from 1 species